CUGGCUCAGGAUGAACGCUAGCUACAGGCUUAACACAUGCAAGUCGAGGGGCAUCAUGGAGUUGCUGCAAACUCUGAUGGCGACCGGCGCACGGGUGAGUAACGCGUAUCCAACCUUCCCUAUAGUAGAGGAUAGCCCGGCGAAAGUCGGAUUAAUACUCUAUGUUUCCCGUUGCAGACAUCUAAGAUGGAACAAAGGCUUGCCGCUAUAGGAUGGGGAUGCGUCUGAUUAGGUAGUCGGCGGGGUAACGGCCCACCGAGCCAUCGAUCAGUAGGGGUUCUGAGAGGAAGGUCCCCCACAUUGGAACUGAGACACGGUCCAAACUCCUACGGGAGGCAGCAGUGAGGAAUAUUGGUCAAUGGGCGAGAGCCUGAACCAGCCAAGUAGCGUGCAGGACGACGGCCCUAUGGGUUGUAAACUGCUUUUAUGCGGGGAUAAAGUUCACUACGUGUAGUGUUUUGUAGGUACCGCAUGAAUAAGGACCGGCUAAUUCCGUGCCAGCAGCCGC
rnacentral:rRNA from 1 species